rnacentral:tRNA from 1 species
GUUGCGGUAGUUUAACAAAACAUUAGCUUGUGACGCUAAAAAUGGAACCUUUCCCCACAAC